ACUGCUCAGUAACACGUAGUCAACCUGCCCUCGGGUCGAGAAUAAUCUCGGGAAACUGAGGCUAAUGAGCGAUAGGUCAAGAUUCCUGGAAUGGGUUUUGGUCUAAACGGCGUGACAGCAUCUUGUCAUGUCCGCCCGAGGAUGGGACUGCGGCCGAUCAGGCUGUUGGUGGGGUAAAGGCCCACCAAACCAGUAACCGGUACGGGCUUUGAGAGAAGGAGCCCGGAGAUGGACACUGAGACAAGGGUCCAGGUCCUACGGGGCGCAGCAGGCGCGAAACCUUCGCAAUGCGCGCAAGCGCGACGAGGUUAUUCCGAGUGAUUUCCGCUGAGGAAAUCUUUUCUUAGAUCUAAAAUGUCUGGGGAAUAAGGGGAGGGCAAGUCUGGUGUCAGCCGCCGCGGUAAUACCAGCUCCUCGAGUGGUCAGGGCGUUUAUUGGGCCUAAAGCAUCCGUAGCCGGCUCGGUAGGUCUCCUGUUAAAUCCAACGGCUCAACCGUUGGUCUGCAGGAGAUACCGCUGGGCUAGGAGGCGGGAGAGGCGGACGGUACUCCGAGGGUAGGGGUAAAAUCCUUUGAUCCCCGGAAGACCACCAGUGGCGAAGGCGGUCCGCCAGAACGCGCUCGACGGUGAGGGAUGAAAGCUGGGGGAGCGAACCGGAUUAGAUACCCGGGUAGUCCCAGCUGUAAACGAUGCGAGCUAGGUGACACGACGCCUUCGGGGCAUCGUGGUGCCGCAGGGAAGCCGUUAAGCUCGCCGCCUGGGGAGUACGGACGCAAGUCUGAAACUUAAAGGAAUUGGCGGGGGAGCACCACAAGGGGUGAAGCCUGCGGUUCAAUUGGAUUCAACGCCGGG
rnacentral:rRNA from 1 species